rnacentral:sRNA from 1 species
GAACAUCCUUCCUAGGGUGGUUGUAGGACCUCCACUAAAGGCAGGCUGUCCUGAAGAGAGGGAGGGGAUCCGCAGGAAGAUGCAAGGUCUCCCUCCUGAAGACACUUUGCCUCACCUGCGUGUCCCACGAGCCCCGCUUCCGUCAUCAUGUUCUCUGCCAAAGCCCGUUGGGGGAAGUCCAGUCUCCCGCAACAGCAGCCCAGCCACCCUUGCUAGGUUCCCGAGAUGCCUCCAGGGUCUGGGCUUUUCUCCAGCACGUGGCUCCCUGCUACCAUCCGAGAAGUCCCGGAUGCUGAGGACUUGCCCUGGAGGAUUGCCGACACACGGACAUUUAUGUCUUCCCCACGGGAAAAAACACCCCAUUAGAAGGCUGUGUGCCCUUGGGCAAGUAGCUCCCUGUUUCUGGGCUCGCUUUGCUCAUCUGUUAAGCAACUUCGUGUUGGUGUGUACCCAGGGAAUGAACAGAAAGCAUGAGCAGAGUCUGGCUGGCACCCAGGAGCAGUAAAUACCAAGGAUUGAUUAUCGUAUUUUGGCAAAAGUCUGGUUCCUCAUAGGAUCUCCAGGGAGCUGCAGCGGCCGGUACCAGAGGAAGGGCUACUGGAAAUGGCUCCAGGGCAUCAAAUUCUGUAAGAGAGGAUCAGGGUGGAUGCCCAUUCUACAGAGGGAAAACUGAGGCUCCUGACAGAACAGUGGCUUACCCCACUGGCUUCCCACUGCAUCCUUCUGCCUUAGCUUCUCACAAGCCUGUCAUUCAGCUCACCAGAUUCUCUCUUGGGGACACAGGAGAACUGUCUGCCCCUGUGUUGUGGGUUCUCAGAGCUCUGAGAGGCUGGGUUCCCAGCCUCUCAGUGGGAAUUCUAGCACAUGAAGCAAAGAGAUGAAGAACGUGUAGCUGAGAAGCUGAUGAUGCUGUGCAUUUGUUGACAGUCGGACGAUUGUCUCCAUCACGUGGCAACGAAUGGCUGUCAGAGGCAGAAACAAAGUCAGUCGUACAGAUCUCUCUCUCUCUCUCUCUCUCUCUCUCGCUCUCUCUUAAA